AUGGUUACAUCGCAGGGGAGAUACCAUGCUCACGAAGGUGGUUUUCCCAGAGCGAGGCUUGUCCGUUGUGCUCCGGAUGUGCUGACCACUGCGAUUUCCCCUCAUGCGGGAAAUUCGACUGCAUAAUUUGUGGUAGUGGGAGACUGCGUUUGUGUUCUCCCCUG
rnacentral:snRNA from 1 species